AUUGAACGCUGGCGGCAGGCCUAACACAUGCAAGUCGAGCGGAUGAAGGGAGCUUGCUCCUGGAUUCAGCGGCGGACGGGUGAGUAAUGCCUAGGAAUCUGCCUGGUAGUGGGGGAUAACGUCCGGAAACGGGCGCUAAUACCGCAUACGUCCUGAGGGAGAAAGUGGGGGAUCUUCGGACCUCACGCUAUCAGAUGAGCCUAGGUCGGAUUAGCUAGUUGGUGGGGUAAAGGCCUACCAAGGCGACGAUCCGUAACUGGUCUGAGAGGAUGAUCAGUCACACUGGAACUGAGACACGGUCCAGACUCCUACGGGAGGCAGCAGUGGGGAAUAUUGGACAAUGGGCGAGAGCCUGAUCCAGCCAUGCCGCGGGUGUGAAGAAGGUCUUCGGAUUGUAAAGCACUUUAAGUUGGGAGGAAGGGCAGUAAGUUAAUACCUUGCUGUUUUGACGUUACCGACAGAAUAAGCACCGGCUAACUUCGUGC
rnacentral:rRNA from 1 species